CUGAUGAGCUCAACUACCUGCUCUUCUUACCUUCAGCAAUAUUAAGAAACUGAUUCCAGGUCAGCAGUGCGUCAGCGGGCGUGGCUUAAGCGAUCCGCUUUCAUUCCUCAGCCCUCUGUGUUUUCCAGAGGUGUCCUCUGGUUGGUCGGUUUGAAUAUUUGAGCUCGAGGUGCGGAGCCCGCAAACAGGGAUGAACAACAGCGCGGAGACAUCCUGCAAACAGUGUCUAAGAGCACGCCUGACCUCGUGAGGUGAGCUGAUUUAGACUUAAAGACAACAGUCUCCGCAUGGCAGGUGCAUCCUGUGUGAGGAGAGGAGAUGAGCAUUACAAAGCCAGGCCAUGUCUCUGGCACAGAGUCUGAUGCAUCUGAUAAGGACCUGCAGGAACACUUCGGUUACCAACAGAGCAGGUCAAGCGACACCCAGAUGUCAAGCCACCCUGUCCAUCAGGCAGCGAAUCCUGAAGCGAUCAUGUCAGGCUGUCAUGCAAGCCUGAGAGGGGCUCAACGAUUGCAUGACAGCCCUGAUGGCACUGAUGUGUAUCCCCCCCCCUCUUGGGUAGAAUUUGAGAAGGCCUGCUUUCCUCCGCUUCAUGAAAUCCAUCUUGAUAGAAGACCGCAGGGAGACCUUGUGGGUGCAGCACAGUGCCAGAAAGAAGUCAGCAAGCAAGUGGAUUACAUUCAUAAACAGCAGGCUUUGUUAGUGAAAAGGGCAUUACCUCAACUUCUGAGGUGCUUUUUGUUUCUUUUAAUUGAACUUCAGGAAUUUUUUAUGCUUUUGCAUGACCAUUUAAAUUACAAUUCUUACUUCUUCUGAAAUAAUCUUUAAAAGUGUAUUACAAACCACCAACUUGACCACGCACACACAAAGAGCACUUUAGAGUUAAAGCUAAGAAGAUCAAGAUGGAGAAAAGUCUGAAAGGAAGAAUUUUUCAAUCAUCUCGCAACCCCACAGAUUUAUCUUGUGACUAAGUUGAGGUACAAAGUUUGAGAACACUGUACUAAAUCUUAUAAGAGAGAUUUACACAAAUAAUGUUGCUCACGAGGAUCAUUUUUCUGCAGAUUGACAUCUUUCAGUAUGUUUUGUUGAUAAAGCCUCUAUUUCUAUAUUCUUGCAUUUAUUUCAGAAUUUGAAAUAUUGUUAGUUUAUUUAAUUAAAUAAUCUCUGUGUGGUUUUGCGAACAUUAAAAAAACAAAACAGGUUUAUUUUUGUAGCCAAGCAGGUUAAAAGACGUGCUACGUAAGUCACCCGACACCGAUGAACUGCUUAAACGGGUAACGGCAAACAAAUAUCCAUGACGUGACAACACUCGUGAGAAGGCUGAAAGUCAUCUCCAUAUUAGGACUAAUGAAACCCAACUUGUGGCUCUCCUUAAUGAGCUAAAGCACAAACUCUUGGCAUCACGCACGGUGACGGUGUCCUCCGUGAGAGUCAAGGAGACAACCUCAAAUAACACCGACAGGGUGAAGAAGGUAAAGGAGAGGGGCGAAUGAUACGUAAGAAAAGGAGGGAAUGAGAGAGUGAUGGUGUCAAUUGCUCCUGUUUUUUCCCCCUUCACAUUAAGUGUCCUUGACAUGGUUGUAAUGAUACUACUCUACCUCUUUGUCUGUUUUUAGCACUGCAUUUAUCUUAGAUCUACACACGGCACAUGCCGGGUGCUCAUUGCAUUCACGUCAGCCGUUUGUUCUUAACAUGAUACUCACCUGAACUCCCCACUGGACUUUUGCCCUUAACCUGGAAUAUUAUUCUGUCUCCUCAUUAUCAGCACAGAGUACUAAACUUCCAGGUAAAUUAUCAAACUGCUGAAACCACAAUCAAUCUCUCACAUUUAAAGAUUCAUUGUGCUCAAAAAUGCCCUCAUUCAGUCACUCGGCUCCUCUGGGAUGUUGGGACACUUUGAUCUCUCUCUGUCUUUCAGCGCACGCAUCACUGACACAAAUACCCUCACAUUCUGCUGUUUAUGUUGCUGAUUUAUUGGGAUCAGAGACAGGCUCACAGGGGAUAUCCAGCAUUGAGAUUCGGGACCUUUUAUUAUAAUCUGCUCUACAGUGUUCACACAAUAGGUUUUCAUAUAUCAAAAGAGACUAAUAAAAAAAAAAGAAUGAAAUGUAUAGCAGGUGUGUCUCCUCGGAUUACUACUGUUUGAACUGAACUCCCAUAAAAUCUUUGAAGAGACAUGUUAAUGGCAGACCUCCAAAAAUGUAUAAUAAAGCCAAAUGUAACCUUUGGAAGGACUGUAUUUUCUUGUCAGCUGACAGCUUAACAGGAGACUGAGCUGUAGAUCAAAGUGGUACAAAAAUGAAUUCCAGCAUUUAAGAGUAAAGACACGAUGCCAAAUAUUUUAGAUUUAGAAUGCAAGAAGAAACACACAUUAAGACUUCAGUGAAUAUAAUACAGUCACCAGUUUGUGCUUCUGCCGUUUAGCACCAGAGGGCAUUACACCUGAGGGAUAGCAGCAUUAGAAACAAGGGAACGUUAAACAGAGACGAGACUGGCAUUUCUUUCAUGCACUUUUACUGUAGGAGCCCUGUAAUUAAAUGGAAUUUCACUUCUUUUAUUUAAAAUUACUAUGUAACUAUAUUUACCUACAAAUACUUAAAAAGUAGGCACACUAAUAUAAGGGAGUAACAAGUCAGAUUUUUAUAGGAAACAAAGAUAUAUAAAAAAUACUAUAAGUAAAUUAAAAUACUGUGCAAGUGAUUUUAAGUGUAAUUUUUAUGGUAAUUUUACAGAAAAACAAAAUAUUUCCCCCAUCUUUUUUGGGAGGUCAUAAUAUGGAGUGGAAUAACCUUGCCACUUUACAUUUGUAUCUUUCUUUUUCUUUUCUUUGUUUGCAUCUUUUUUGAAUGUUCCUUAUGUUGAUGUGUAUUGUGGAUGUUCCAUUAUUUAAAUGUCUUUUUAUUUUACCAAUAAAAAUGUGAUAAAGACUCUUCUUGCUUACAAUCUUACAAGAAAACAUGAACAACACAACUUGCAGAUCUAUGUGACCUAAUUGUGGAGCCAAGCAGUGGCGGAUCUACAAAAUUUUACAUAGGGGGGCAAAUGAGGGGCGAGAGAUUGAGGCAGGGUGGCUCAUAACUCUUCAGUGAAGUAGUGAAAAUCCCAUAUUUGUUAAUGGAGUCAACAAAAUAUCCACAAAAACACUUUAAAACUAUUUAUUGUAUCAUUAUCUCUUCUAAGAAAACAAAGACAAUUUUUAGGUGGGUAAUUUUAGACAAUUAGUUUUUACAAGUAUUUUAAAGACAUAAAAGGAGGGCAAGGCUCUACAGCUUGGGGCCAGUUGCCCCACACCGCCCCCCCUGUAUAUCCGCCCCUGAAGCCAAGUCUAACCUAUUUUUUUGUUUGUUUGUUUUUUCACAAUCACUGAUCAACAAUAAUUUUCAAAAGAAGUGUACAGAAAGUGGGAGUGUCUUCAUUGUGUAUAACACCUUAAAAUCACGUAAGGGUUAGGUUACAGUAUUAUUGUUUAUUUCUGUAAAAACCUGACUUGGUUCCCGCAUAUUCUAGUGUACCUAACUUUAAGAAUUUGUAGAUAUAUAUAAUUACAUUGUAACUUCUAAAUUCUGUUCAUUUAUAGGUGAAUUACACCGUCAGUCGUGGGCCAUAUUAAAAAAUGUUACCUAAAGUUUUCUUACCACAAAUCACAGUAAUAUGCAGAACUCCUUUACACGUGCUCCCACAAAAGUCUCAUUAAGCUGGACCCAGACAUUAAAAUUCAGCAUCAGCUCUAACUAUUGUAAAGCUUUCAUGUCUUCAAGCACAUUGCACCAGGGUGAAUCACCAACUCUUCACAGUGCAGAUAAUACAGCAGAAACAACA